rnacentral:rRNA from 1 species
GACGAACGCUGGCGGCGUGCUUAACACAUGCAAGUCGAACGGAAAGGCCCUGCUUUUGUGGGGUGCUCGAGUGGCGAACGGGUGAGUAACACGUGAGUAACCUGCCCUUGACUUUGGGAUAACUUCAGGAAACUGGGGCUAAUACAGGAUAGGAGCUCCUGCUGCAUGGUGGGGGUUGGAAAGUUUCGGCGGUUGGGGAUGGACUCGCGGCUUAUCAGCUUGUUGGUGGGGUAGUGGCUUACCAAGGCUUUGACGGGUAGCCGGCCUGAGAGGGUGACCGGCCACAUUGGGACUGAGAUACGGCCCAGACUCCUACGUGAGGCAGCAGUGGGGAAUAUUGCACAAUGGGCGGAAGCCUGUUGCAGCAACGCCGCGUGCGUGAUGACGGCCUUCGGGUUGUAAACCGCUUUCGCCUGUGACGAAGCGGGAGUGACGGUAAUGGGUAAAGAAGCACCGGCUAACUACGUG